AUUAUUGUGCUUGCAACUUUACUAAAAUUGCAGGAUGUGAUUUUUCUUUUGUAGCUCCAGUUACCUUACAUGAACUUUUAGAAUCCAAUCUCACGUUGAUUCACAAGCUACUGCCUACUCCCAUUGGGAUGAACCUUACUUUGGUAAAGCAACUAUUACUUCAUCAAGAUCUAAUAGAGAUCCUAGGAAAAAUCAAGGAGAAUGGACAGAAAACUCUGUCCUGAAGACUCCGCGACGACACCAUGGAACCCUGCUGAUGAAGAUCUUUCGAGGGCAAUCGUCAGUCACGGGGUGGUGUAAGAGCCCGUCUGAAGCCCCUCAUUUUCCAUUCUGCCUUCCGAUUGCCACGAGAAAGAAUCCCUUCCUCCACUGCAGUUCCGGCUUAGAACAGGACACAGCGCAGGUGCAACCACUGAACCGUCAUGCUAGCUGUUCCGAACAAGGCCUGGCAAGAACUCGGCAAGGACUUGGCAAAGACCUGACGUGGACCCAGCACGGGACAGCCCGAUGCGCGGCCUGCUUCUAAUCUCCGUUCUUAAGCCAAAUGAACUUUUGGGGUGACUCCCGGGGUCCUUCAUUGAAGACCCCUCAUCUGCCUCGUUACCACUGUGACAAACAAAGAAUGAGAACCCGCCUCCCAAGGACUGAGACUGAGACCCCUGCUAUAGGGAGGAGGGGAAAUUGGUGGUCUGACCACUAAUGACACGACCUGUUUCCCUUCAGUGAUUCAAAUGGACUUAUUCUUCAUUGGAUUCAUCUUGCUUUGGUGGUUUCUGUGGACUCAGCUGUUCCCGCGUGGCGAUUACAAUGGACUUUCGUUGUUACACUUGCUCCCCCCUCUUUCCUCUGUGGACUAUAACUGGAGCCCCGAGUCGACCAGAACUUCGGAGACUCCCCCGACACGACAGACGGAUCCCCAUCGUCCGGACCACUGAGGAUCUCGCCUGUGUUGGUAGCUAUUCCCAUACCCCUCUUCUCUCUCUCUCUCUCCUUUUAUCUCCUUUCCGAUCCCCACUAUCGCAUUUACUGUUUUGGCCCCUAAUAAAGGUGCAUUUGUUGUGAUUAA